AGCAGCGUGGCUCAGUGGAAAGAGCCCGGGCUUGGGAGUCAGAGGUCGUGGGUUCAAGUCCCAGCUCUGCCA
rnacentral:tRNA from 1 species